AUACGGAGGGUCCAAGCGUUAUCCGGAAUCAUUGGGUUUAAAGGGUCCGCAGGCGGUCAAUUAAGUCAGAGGUGAAAGCCCAUCGCUCAACGAUGGAACUGCCUUUGAUACUGGUUGACUUGAGUUAUACGGAAGUAGAUAGAAUAAGUAGUGUAGCGGUGAAAUGCAUAGAUAUUACUUAGAAUACCGAUUGCGAAGGCAGUCUACUACGUAUAUACUGACGCUGAGGGACGAAAGCGUGGGGAGCAAACAGGAUUAGAAACCCGAGUAGUCC
rnacentral:rRNA from 1 species